rnacentral:rRNA from 1 species
UACGGAGGGUGCAAGCAUUGAUCGGAAUUACUGGGCGUAAAGGGCGCGUAGGCGGCCAAAGAAGUCAGAUGUGAAAUUCCGGGGCUCAACCCCGGAGCUGCAUUUGAAACUCUAUGGCUUGAGGUUAGUAAGGGAAAACGGAAUUCCACGUGUAGCGGUGAAAUGCGUAGAUAUGUGGAAGAACACCGGUGGUGAAGGCGGUUUUCUGUGCUAAACCUGACGCUGAGGCGCGAAAGCUAGGGGAGCAAACAGG